GGAAAAAAAACAAAACAAAAAAGACAAAAGAAAAACAAAGACUGCGUGGAAAUAAACAUUCACGCAGAAAAAGGAACGACAAUUUAAAGGUUAUUUAAGCUACCUUCCAUGCAGCUUUGAACCUUGGGGGGUUAGUUACCGCAAGGAACCACUCCGUUGUAUGUAAAUACCAGCUGUUGUGAUAUAUAUUUCGGAGGGGACCGUGAGAGUUUAGAUGGUGCGCCUCUGCGUUAUUUCAGGAGCAAUUUUGGGCAAAUUUUUAUUUAAACCUGCGGUUUUUACAAACUUUACGUUGCAGUAAUCGGCCUUGAGUUAUUUCCCCCUCUUUUUGUUGUCUAUUUUUCUUGUGCUGAACGACGCUUGAAAAUUAUUAAUUUUUGCUUCAGGAUUCUGAAAAGUAGAUCAUCUCCAAAAUGUGAUUGUCCAGCUUGCUUUGGUGCUCUGUUUUGUUUAGGAUCCAAAAAUACUUUGUGAUAUUUUCGGGCUUCUUUCUUCUUUGCUCUUUCCGGAAACGUCUAGUAGUUGAUAAUUGUGUUCUUAUGUUCUUUGUUUAUCAAUGCAUAUUUCCUUGCACUCUACUAUUUAGCACCUCUUUAGGGUCUUAAAAUUCUCUAGAAUGAUUUCUGGUCCCUUUCCAUGUCGUUCCGUUUAUGUAAAGUUUGUUGGCUGAUGAGUGCUCUUUUGUCUUCCUUGCGUGUUCUACUUUCACUCUCGUUGAUACAAAUAUGGAAUACCAAAAGCCGACAUAAUCUGUAAAACAAAAUUACACUUAAACUAUAAAAACUUCAUUUUUGGUUUAACAAUGGAAGCCUUGGAAUUAAACGCGAGAUCAAAGUGAAAGACCAAAAUCUGACCAUUGUUAAAGAGCAGUGAAUUUUUAUCCUUUCGAGUGUAAGGUAUGCAAUACAGACUACGCCGGCUUCUUGGGUGGAUGCUUUCGUUGAUCUGCAUGAGUUGGAAAACACACAGGAUAACUCAAUUGACGUCACUUACACAUUGACGUACAAGAACAAUGGAGGCGAGAAAGAGGAAAAUGACAGCACCCUUUGUCGUACAAAAGUCUGCAGUUAUUAACAGUUUUAGACCACCAUGAAUGAUUUCCCUUUCUAAUCUUUGCAUCAUGAGGACUAUUUUUCCUUAUGAUGAAUUUAAAUAUUGAUCGCCUGAUUUGAUUAAACCGUUCUCAUGGCUUGGCAUCCUCUUUAAAAUUUCUUUCUCCCUUUCUCGGAGAAAUAUCUCAUUUGAGCAUCGCACAUCGUCAAAGGCGAUGCCAGCCUUAAAUGGCCGUCUUUGAUGACCCACUUGACGUUUCAAUAUGGUUGUUUUUGUUGGUUUUGUGUUGCUUUGUUUGUUUUCUUGUUUGUGUAUUUUGGCGUAAAAGCUACACUGGUUGCUUCCGAUCAUUCGAGACCAAUGCCCAGUUUAAAAAUUUGCAUUAAAAAAUAGUGGACUCCAGAAUGAGUUAUCAGAUUUGCCACGAAUCUAGCUUUUCUGAUUAAAGCUAUUAAAUGCGAAUCGACAAGAAUUGGCUAAAAAAGAUGAAAGUUGUGAAGCAAGAAACAGCAACUUUCUACAACUGCUGUUUGGACAUACGACGGGAAAUCGACUGAACAAGUCACUGAAGCGAAAAUGGAGCCAACCGCCUUAGCCUUUACUUCUUCUAUUCAGCGCGCUCACCUCUCGACUGUGAAUUUAAGGAAAAGACUUGUACGCAGUGAAGAUCGAGUAGUAAGAGAAUUAUUGAUCUCCGUUAUCGUAGAAAA